rnacentral:rRNA from 1 species
CGUCGCCGGCAGUCGGAUCUGGACGGGAGCGGGGCCGGGGCCCGCGCGUGGCGACGGGCGGCGUGCGUGCGCGCGCGCGCGCCGCCGCCGCCGGGCCCGCGUCGUUACCGCCCCGGCCGGACAUGCCCCGCGGACGCUACGCCGCGACG